rnacentral:rRNA from 1 species
UACGGAGGGAGCUAGCGUUGUUCGGAAUUACUGGGCGUAAAGCGCGUGUAGGCGGCCCGGAAAGUCGGAUGUGAAAGCCCUGGGCUUAACCUAGGAAGUGCAUUCGAAACUGUUGGGCUUGAGUUCUGGAGAGGAAGGCGGAAUUCUCGGUGUAGAGGUGAAAUUCGUAGAUAUCGAGAGGAACACCGGUGGCGAAGGCGGCCUUCUGGACAGUGACUGACGCUGAGACGCGAAAGCGUGGGGAGCAAACAGG